GCAGGUCUGGACCGCAAUGAAACUGGAAAUUCUUUCUUAGAACAAAGAACCUCCCUAAACCCACACCCUGAUCUGAUGUAAUCAGUCUACACCAAACACCAUACACCAAACACUGGCAUAUACCAGGGUUGGUGAACCAGAGCCUGUGGACCAGGUCAACUGCUGUACACAGCAGCCGGCCGUCCAGGCACCUGGAGACGGUGAACAAUGACGGAAAAUCUGUCAGAUCAACUCAAAGCCCUACCCACCUUGUCUCAACCAGCUGCAGAAUCCACGUCAGAAGGCCGUGAAUCUUGAUGAGCUCAUAGGCGGCUUUGGUUACAUGGGCGGCUUUCUGGAGCACGUCCAGGAUCAGAACCUGCGAGGGAUCACGUC